GACGAACGCUGGCGGCGUGCUUAACACAUGCAAGUCGAGCGAUGAAGUUUCUUCGGAAAUGGAUUAGCGGCGAACGGGUGAGGAACACGUGAAGAAUCUGCCCUCCACUUUGGGAUAACACAGGGAAACCUGUGCUAAUACCGAAUAUUGAAACAUAAGUGGCAUCACUGAGUUUUGAAAGAAUUUCGGUGGAGGAUGACUUCGCGGCCUAUCAGCUAGUUGGUGAGGUAAUGGCUCACCAAGGCAACGACUGGUAGCCGGCCUGAGAGGGCGACCGGCCACACUGGGACUGAGACACGGCCCAGACUCCGACGGGAGGCGGCAGUGGGGAAUAUUGGGCAAUGGAGGAAUCAUUGACCCAGCGACGCCGCGUGCGGGAUGAAGGCCUUCGGGUUGUAAACCGCUUUCAGUAGGGAAGAAGCGAAAGUGACGGUACCUACAAAAGAAGCACCGGCUAACUAUGUGCCAGCCGCCGAGUAA
rnacentral:rRNA from 1 species